GAGCAACUUCCCCAAACGUAACACAGCAGGCCUAUCCCACUAAGAGUCUCCACCUUCAAUGCGGAAAUACAAGCAGGGAUCAUUUAAAAGUGAUGGAGAUCUUCUACCUAAGCAAAAGUAGCAUUAUCCCACUGUAGAAACAAGCUGCUCCUCUACAAGAAGUCCUGCAUUCAAAAUUAAAAGUGUCACCUGAUCUGUUUUUACCCCCAUGGAUGUGGAUGUAUGAGUGGUAUUGCUGGCUGAACAGAAGCAGAAUAAUCUGAUACCACAGCUGCAAAACAGAUGCAACAUGAUGAGAGCUACAAUCCAUCAUGGAUCCUAUCAUGCUUAAUAGAGACAACAGUGUUGCAGCGCUCAGGUGUAUACUGCUGAAAUGUACAUGAAAAACAGAACUGUGGUGGAUGGAUAGGAGAUCAGAAACGGGUAGAAGCUGUGAUGACCACGUGCUGAGCUCUUACAGCAGCUCAAAGACCCCUGAUGGGGGUAGAGGGCUAAAUGAAGACCACCUGGACUGGGGCUAAUCCCCAAAACACUAUCCUCCUCCCCAGGACCACUUCAUGGAAUCAUGCCACAGGAUUUACACCAUUUUGGAUUUGAAACAGGCCUAUGAGUUUUUUUUCCUUUUGGUUGAAGAGUGGAUGGAGGUGGUGGUGAGGAAGGAGGUACUGAACCUUUUCUUAUGAGUCGUUGAUGCCAUGAACCUGCCGAAGUUCAUACCUCAUGCAUACUGCAGAACAGUGCUAUUAGAGGUUGUUAGAGUGAUGGAUUUGUCAUCAUAAAAUGUUUUCAUAUCCAAACUUUCAAUUCCCAGUGUCUGUUUUGGAUUAAGUAUUUGCGAUCUGGAAAAAAGGGACAAAUGGUUCUUAUUACCAAACUGUACAUCUACUUUCUUUUGCACAUUUGCACAAGUUUCAUGUUCAUAUCUGUUUUUUUUCAAAUCAUGUCUCUUAUCAAAUCACAGGACUACUUGAUACAAUUGUAACUCUAAAUUAAUACGUAGAGAAUUGAGGUCUUCAUAGUAGUGGUAUUUAAUCAAGAUUAGAUUUGUGGAUACAGAACCUUUUGAAGUCGUGUAUAAGAUAGUAGCCUCAAACAGUAAUCUGGCGUCAGAUUUGACUUUGUUGCACCAAACAUAAAUCACAUACAUCUGUACUGCACACACACACACACAUAGACAUGCAUGCACAGACACAGACAAACAAACACACACACAGAUAACAUGAUUAAAUAAGCUACGGAGACUGGUUGUCUACAUAUAUCUCAAGAUAAGGUAAAAGUGGAUAGCCGAUUACCAGGUGUUGCACCCAUUUCCUCUUGACUGCAGGUAGUCUCAGUAUUGAAGAGAGGAAACGAAAAGCAGAAGAGACACCAACAUCCUUUGAGCCUCUGAUUCAAGGGUUAUAGAGAACUGAUUGCCAUUGUUGUGGUGCAGGUAGUGGGAAAAAAAAGCUUUGAGGUUUUCUAACAAUGUAACAACAUCUAGCAAUGGUGCCAUCUAUUAAACUCACUAAUGUCCCCAUUCCACCAAUACUAGACGUAUUUUGUGAUCUAGCAAAGCCAUUGCUGCCCUCUAGCCAUAAAAGUGAAUGAAAUAAUGAAAGCAUGGUUAAUUUAGCUAUUAAGGAUAGCCCUAACCCUUUUUCACUGAGAACAUUUUGACA